CAAAGGAGUGAUCCGGUGGCGGAUGGGCAUGCGGCGCAUUAGCUAGACGGCGGGGUGACGGCCCACCGUGGCGACGAUGCGUAGGGGUUCUGAGAGGAAGGCCCCCCACACUGGGACUGAGACACGGCCCAGACUCCUACGGGAGGCAGCAGUGAGGAAUAUUGGUCAAUGGGCGGAAGCCUGAACCAGCCAAGUCGCGUGAGGGAUUAAGGCCCUGCGGGUCGUAAACCUCUUUUGCCGGGGAGCAGUGGUCCGGACGCGUCCGGGCCGGGAGAGUACCCGGAGAAAAAGCAUCGGCUAACUCCGUGCCAGCAGCCGCGGUAAUACGGAGGAUGCGAGCGUUAUCCGGAUUUAUUGGGUUUAAAGGGUGCGUAGGCGGGCAUUUAAGCCGGCGGUCAAAUGUCGGGGCUCAACCCCGGCCUGCCGUCGGAACUGGGUGCCUUGAGUGGGCGAGAAGUAUGCGGAAUGCGUGGUGUAGCGGUGAAAUGCAUAGAUAUCACGCAGAACCCCGAUUGCGAAGGCAGCAUACCGGCGCCCUAUUGACGCUGAGGCACGAAAGUGCGGGUAUCGAACAGGAUUAGAUACCCUGGUAGUCCGCACAGUAAACGAUGGAUGCUAUCUGUCCGGGCCGAAUGGGGCCUGG
rnacentral:rRNA from 1 species